GGCGCUAUAGUGUAGUGGCUAUCACAACGGAUUCUGACUCCGCGGUGGAACUUUCCGUUAACCCAGGUUCGAACCCUGGUAGCGCCU